ensembl:ncRNA lncRNA:CR45599 long non-coding RNA:CR45599
GCUGUCAAAUUUGGAAAUUAUUCUACUCACUCGGCUUGCAAGUGGAGCAUGAACUAUACGAGAACGAGCCACGCAUUCUGCAGGUGAUGCAGUAAAGGAUGCAUCUUGAAGAUACUGCCAUGAAUCCACGAGAUGCUGUUACAGAUGGUGUGCCAUAAACUUAUUGUGGCAACGGCAAAACCGGAUUGCAGCAGCUGCUUCAUUUCAUUCCCAUUGCCCGACAUCCAGCUCCGUUCACAUCAUUGAUUUGCCGCUGCCACGCCCCACGAGCAGCUCCAACCGCCCACUCCGCAUCCUCAUCGUCCUGCGAUCGAUGUUGGCAAUUUCGUUUGGGGCUUGGCGCAAUUUCACUUGCCAUUGUCAUGGCCAUAAAAAACGGAGCAAGGAAGCUGCUUUGAACGCUCUGAUUGACCAUUGAAAUUGCACGUCAGCUUUCAGAGGAGUGACAGGGACAGAAGGGCGGCUAGAGGGGAUGUGGGAUCGUUGCACGUGGCGGAUGAGUAAUGUGUGCGACAUGCCUGCCAAUGAGCGGAUUGACUCACGAUAUACCGGAAAGGGCUGGCAAUUAAUUAGAGCUGGCAGCUAAAAAUAACCCAGGCACUGUGAAAAUAUAUAACGAUUUUCCCCCAGUUCCUUGUCAUCGGGAAAAUAUUUAUAUUGGC